CUUUCAGGUACUGUGUCAAGUGGAUGUCUAAAUUGCCAUUAAAAAAAAGUCAGAAGUGUGAGAUGCAAACUCUAAAUUGCAAGACAAAAAUGAGAAUUGUGAGGGAAAAAAAGGGAGAAUUAUGAGAGGUAAACUCCAAAUUGCAUGAAAAAAAAAGUCCGAAUUGCGAGCAAUUCUAAUAUAUAAAGUCGCAGUUACCUUUAAGAAAAAACAACAUUUCUCCAUGCCAGAAACGGACUUCCAUAUAUAUUAGAAUGAGUGCAUUAAUUUAAAUAAUGUAACCGACACUAGUCAGAGCUGCUGUUGUAGAAAACUGAUCAACACUCUCUGACCAAUCAGAAUCGAGAAUUCAACAACACUGAGGUAGUUAAUUUAAUAAAUGGUUAUUCUUAACAAAUGGUAUUACCUUGCUAAGUUUAAAGGCGGGUGUGUCAUGACGUACACACGCAGUUUAUAAGAGGCUAAACCGAAGGCUAUACACUUCCCUUAGUUGUUAGCACAAAACUAAAGAACCGACCUUCAGAAACUGAACAUGUCUUGACUGAUUGAUUGCAUAUUGGUUACGUGAUUCCACAAGCUCAUUUUAAUAUAAAAUAAAUAUCAAACAGGACAAUGUUAACCUGAAACAGAAAUAAGUGUGUAGUAGCUCAACAGCAACAGUAAGUAGUAUAAUAUACUAAGCACUUGUAAUUAUACUAUAAUAAGGUUAAUCAUAUACAUUUGCAAAGAAAAUAUUUAUAUAUAGAAUCCUAUAACUGGUGGUUUUCCUUUUAGAAAUGGUUCCAAGUAUAACCUCUUUAGGGAAAAAAAACCCCAUUGAGGAACAUUUAUUUUUAAUGUACAGAAAGAAAGGUUAGAUUAAAUCAUUCUUAGGUUUGACCCUUUAAGAUAACACUUAAAAGUUUUAUGUAGAAGCAGACAGGGUUCAGGCAGAACCCUUUAAGAAAGCAAAGAAUCCUUAAAUAUACCAAGAACUGACAAGUAACUCUGAUUUCCAAUCCAUGUGACGUACAUAUCAAUGCAUUAAAGACCUACUGAAAAACCACAUCUGGUGUUAAAACAGUAGCUGUUCGUUUGUAGUUUCUUGUGUUUGAGGUGCAGCACUCUGACGUGGAGAAAGAACGGGGGAAGGAAUCAUCGCCGUCUGCUUCUCUUUAUCAAAGGCUAAUCCCUCAUUCAUGCUGGGAGCGUGUGAACUACAACACAAAGAGCUUACACACACCCUAGGCAUGCCAACAUCACAAAUACAGCACAGGCCAGGUGUUAAUGCUCACACAACUAGGUGCUAAUUGGUCUAUAGGGAGUUGCAAUGAUGCGUGCACAUAGGUGGGUGUGAUUUAAUUUGAGGUGGCUUAUCAAAAAAUGCUGAAAAUGGUUUGUUAAAAUGGUGCGUUUUAAAUUCAUAUGAACAAAAUGUAUUUAUUCUUAGGGAAUAUGCUGGUUUUACAGAAUUGUAUGUAUGUAUGUAUUUAUUUGCCUACCAGUGACAUUUAAUCAGUUUAACCGUUACUCCAGUAAGUCCAUUUCUGCAUGUUCUAUUAUUAUUAUUUAUUAUUAUUAUUAUUGCCUGUGGCAGUGUUGUGAACAGAAACUGGUGCUCAUGAGUACUUUUUCUUAGUUUGUUCCCUUAAUUUUGCACAUAUUAAUGAUGUUUUUUUGCACAUGAACAUUCCUUCACACUAAACCAAGACUUUGUUUUGUUUUUGCACUGAUAUCUGUGUACUGUGUGUGAUCAGAUAUGAUUAAUAUGUGAAAUUAUAAAUACAUUUCCUACAAUCUCAACCUGGUCUACACUGCCACCUAGUGCGUAUUUCUCGUUUUAGUGUAUUGCCCAGAGAUAUUGGGUCGGAUCAUUCCCCGCCGUCUGCUCUAACACACUCUGAAAAGUGAGUCAGAUCAUUUGACUCGCUAAUAAAGAGUCGACUCUUUGACCACCCAACCGGCUCAUUGGCAUUUUCAAUAAACCGGGCAAAGUGCUGAAUCUUACUCUACCUUCUAACUGUCAAAAUAACACUCCUCUGCAUGUUAAACAAUCUUUUUAAACUACUGUGAAAUCAGCAAUGGGCUCUAGACGUUCACCUAAAAGAGCCGACUCAAAGAUCCGACUCAUUUGCAAACGACACAUCACUGCAAAGUUGGAAAAACAUCCUGUACUGAAAAGCUCAUGAGCUAGCAACAAGCUACCCAACUAACAUUCGUGAUGUAUUUACAUUUGAU
ensembl:lncRNA